UUUAUGUACUAACAAGUUGGC
rnacentral:piRNA from 1 species